rnacentral:rRNA from 1 species
AGUGAACGCUGGCGGUAGGCCUAACACAUGCAAGUCGAACGGCAGCACAGUAAGAGCUUGCGCUUACGGGUGGCGAGUGGCGGACGGGUGAGGAAUACAUCGGAAUCUACGUUUGCGUGGGGGAUAACGUAGGGAAACUAACGCUAAUACCGCAUAGGACCUACGGGUGAAAGCAGGGGAUCUUCGGACCUUGCGCGAUUGAAUGAGCCGAUGUCGGAUUAGCUAGUUGGCGGGGUAAAGGCCCACCAAGGCGACGAUCCCUAGCUGGUCUGAGAGGAUGAUCAGCCACACUGGAACUGAGACACGGUCCAGACUCCUACGGGAGGCAGCAGUGGGGAAUAUUGGACAAUGGGCGCAAGCCUGAUCCAGCCAUACCGCGUGGGUGAAGAAGGCCUUCGGGUUGUAAAGCCCUUUUGUUGGGAAAGAAAAGCAGCAGGUUAAUACCCCGCUGUUCUGACGUUACCCACAGAAUAAGCACCGGCUAACUUCGUG